rnacentral:misc_RNA from 1 species
AAGUCGUAACAAGGUCUCCGUUGGUGAACCAGCGGAGGGAUCAUUACAGAGUUGCAAAACUCCCCAAACCAUUGUGAACCUUACCUUCUACCGUUGCUUCGGCGGGCGGGCCACAGCGCCCCCCCGGGCCCCCCUCGGGGGCGCCCGCCGGAGGAUAACCAAACUCUUGAUAUUCAUGGCCUCUCUGAGUCUUCUGUACUGAAUAAGUCAAAACUUUCAACAACGGAUCUCUUGGUUCUG